ACACUUAUAGUCAUCCGUAAGUGGAUAAUGUUUCUGGUAUAAUCACUUUCAAUUAAAAAAAUAUAUUGAGUUGAGUUUUUGAACAAGGACAUUACGACACCAUUUAGUCUAUAACAGAUGAUUUUGUUUAGCGAAGUUUCAUGACAUCUUCAGGUCUCGAGAAGAGUUGGGGUUUUUCAAAUAUGAAUUGGCUUUUGUUUCUAUUGCUUCCCGUUUUCGUCACUCGUACAGCAGGUGAAAUGCAAGACGCGUCAGAUCAUCAACAUUUAAUAAGAGCACGAGCAAUAAAAGCAGAUUGUAAAGGUUGUGUCAAUUUAUGUUUCUGGAGGCUCCACUGUGAAACUUGUUGGAAAGCGUCUUGUGAUCAGGGGGGUUGUAUUUGUAAACCUGUCAGUGGAGGGUGCCGUUUAACCAGUGGCUGUCAGAAUGUCGUUCAACCUCAACGCGGAAGAACUGGGACAGAGCCAAAGAGAUCUAAUCCCUGAUCGGAUAUAAACGAAAUCUCACGAACGCUCUUGUAGAAUGUAAUUGUUGUAGUUUCAUUAGCGCUAACCGACUAAAUAUUUGUUUCACUUUAUUAUA